rnacentral:rRNA from 1 species
UACGUAGGGUGCGAGCGUUUGUCCGGAAUUAUUGGGCGUAAAGAGCUUGUAGGCGGUUUGUCGCGUCUGCUGUGAAAAUCCGGGGCUCAACCCCGGACUUGCAGUGGGUACGGGCAGACUAGAGUGUGGUAGGGGAGACUGGAAUUCCUGGUGUAGCGGUGGAAUGCGCAGAUAUCAGGAAGAACACCCGUGGCGAAAGCGGCUCCUCUGGAACGGUACUGACGCUGAGACGCGAAAAGCGUGGGGAGCGAACAGG